UAGAAAGGCAGAAAGAGGUUGCUGUACAGGUUCUGGAGGAGGAAUACUGAUUUGGGCAUCAGAGAAGUCAGUGUUCACCUGAAUUGCCAACAAAGUAUUAUUGCAAUGCAAGAAGCAAACCAUGUUGUUACAGCCGAUUCUGAAGAGAAAAUUAAAAUGCCAUGAAAUGUAAAGAGUUUGAAGAAUAAGUGCUCCAGCAUCAUUUGACAAGGGAGAUUUGUCAAGCUGUCAAUUGUACUGAUUAACCAAACGACCACACAUUAUCACUUUUUAUCUUUCCUUUGGCAUAAUUUAUUCACUUAAGUAACAGCCUUGUUCAUACUGUUUUCUGAGGUAGCAACAAUCAAAAUACUCCAGCCCUCCUUGUGGUGAAGUUUUUCGAUGCUGUUAUGUCUUUUUUCUUAAAGAGAAGGCAAGAAUCCGGAAUAUCAC
rnacentral:lncRNA from 11 species